GACGAACGCUGGCGGCGUGCUUAACACAUGCAAGUCGAACGGAAAGGCCCUGCUUGCAGGGUGCUCGAGUGGCGAACGGGUGAGUAACACGUGGGUGAUCUGCCCCUUACUUUGGGAUAAGCCUGGGAAACUGGGUCUAAUACUGGAUAGAACCAUGCUGUAGGUGGUGUGGUGGAAAGAUUAGUUUCGGUAAGGGAUGAGCUCGCGGCCUAUCAGCUUGUUGGUGGGGUAAUGGCCUACCAAGGCGUCGACGGGUAGCCGGCCUGAGAGGGUGGACGGCCACAUUGGGACUGAGAUACGGCCCAGACUCCUACGGGAGGCAGCAGUGGGGAAUAUUGCACAAUGGGCGCAAGCCUGAUGCAGCGACGCCGCGUGGGGGAUGACGGCCUUCGGGUUGUAAACUCCUUUCAGCCAUGACGAAGCCCUUGUGGUGAUGGUAGUGGUAGAAGAAGCACCGGCUAACUACGU
rnacentral:rRNA from 1 species